GACGAACGCUGGCGGCGUGCUUAACACAUGCAAGUCGAGCGAUGAAGGUUCUUCGGAAAUGGCUUAGCGGCGAACGGGUGAGGAACACGUGCAGAAUCUGCCCUCCAAUUUGGGAUAACACAGGGAAACCUGUGCUAAUACCGAAAAUUGAAACAUAAGUGGCAUCAAAGAGUUUUGAAAGAAUUACGGUGGAGGAUGACUUCGAGGCGUAUCAGCUAGUUGGUGAGGUAAUGGCUCACCAAGGCAACGACAGGUAGCCGGGCUGAGAGGGCGACCGGCCACACUGGGACUGAGACGCGGCCCAGACUCCUACGGGAGGCAGCAGUGGGGAAUAUUGUGCAAUGGAGGAAACUCUGACCCAGCGAAGCCGCGUGCGGGGUGAAGUCCUUCGGGUUGUAAACCGCUUUCAGUAGGGAAGAAGCGAAAGUGACGGUACCUGCAGAAAAAGCACCGGCUAACUACGUGCCAGCCGCCGCUGUAA
rnacentral:rRNA from 1 species